ensembl:lncRNA
CACAGAGUCGGACACGACUGAAGCGACUUAGCAGUAGCAGCAUGCCCACUUUGGUAGUCUUUGCUUUCUAGAUAGCAUGUCCCAAAGUGUGUGCCCAUGGGCCUCGGGGAAUGUGAACAACUGUCAUGUUACUGAGGUGUCCCUCAGGGGGUGUUGGACUAAGUAAAGUCAAUCAGAUAUCUUCUCUGCAGGACUUCUCAGAGCCUGGAACAUACUGUUGGAGGUGGGUUGGAAGAUCCAAGAGGGAUGCUUAACAAAACAUUUCCCAAACUCCUUUCUCCACAAAGUGCAUACUUUUUCCACAGAGGACCUUUCCUCUUUUGGAUAUUAGAAUUUUUAUUACUCUUUUAAAGAGUGGGUUGCUACUGUGUUUUUUUUUUUCUUCUAGUACUACUGCUCUACAAUGUUGUGUUAGUCUCUGCUGUGCAAUGAAGUGAAUCAGCUUCAUGUACACAGAUCCCCUCUCACUUGGACUUCCCUCCCACUUGCUCCCACCAUCCCACCCAGAGUUAAAUACACUUCAGAGCCCAGCGGACUUGUGUUUCCCAUCUUUGGACUUUUUGAGCUUCAGUCUCUUCAUUUAUCAGAGAAGACAAUGGCACCCCACUCCAGUACUCUUACCUGGAAAAUCCCAUGGACGGAGGAGCCUGGUAGGCUGCAGUCCAUGGAGUCGCUAGGAGUCAGACAUGACUGAGCAACUUCAUGCAUUGGAGAAGGAAAUGGCAGCCCACUCCAGUGUUCUUGCCUGGAGAAUCCCAGGGAUGGGGGAGCCUGGUGGGCUGUCAUCUUUGGGGUCACACAGAGUCGGACAUGACUGAAGCGACUUAGCAGCUCUUCAUACAUAAAAUGGAGAGUGAUCCCUACCUUGAAAGGUUGUUGCAACAUUUAAGUGAGGUGACAUAAAAAAUGCACAGCCCAGGGUGAGAUAGACAGUAAGGGGCUUAAUAAAUGUGAAUUUUCUCCUCUCUAUCUUUUUCUUUUCUGGUGGAAGCUUUCAAUCUGAGUCAAAAUAUGCCUGGUUGUGCGCCAAGUACUCGGCCUGUGAGGGACCCCCCGAUGUUCAUGAGCAGAUCCCUGUAGCUGGACACCCUCAGGAGGGCCCUGUAAGAUCUCAGCUCCAGCUCUUCUCCUCCAAGUGAUCUGCGGUCCAGCACGUCCGCGUGAGACCCAGAGGUCACCCUCCGCCUGCCAACACCCACUUCAAUGAUUAGCGAAGGUGCCAGGGAAAUUAUGAAAACCAUGUGACAGGGGUGCGUGACAUGUUAUUCCGAUGGCCUCUUCCAGUUUGAACAUGCCAGGACCCAAAAGCUUGUGGCGUGGGACCCCACCAUCCAUCUUCAACUGUCUCUAGUCUUGCCCUGCUUUAUCCUCAGCUACCCCCUGAUCCCUAGAGGAUCCCGGCUUUCUGAACUAUAGAACUCGACCUCUUGGAAAUGCCAGGGCCAGGGGUUGUCAGCAUGGAUUAGUUCUGGGAAAGGCGACAGCCAGCCGAGUGUCCCCAGAGAGGGCACUUAUCCUGCCUAGCCCUGGAGGGGGUGAGCUAAACAUUCCGAUCAGCCAAGUGGCCUCAGGGGAGCAUUAGAGAAAAGGGCAGUGGGAAGCCGGUGUUGGAGAUCUCUUAAUCCCAGGGAAUUUAAAGUCACCGUAAAGUGGACUCCUAAAUGAGGAGGGAUUUGCCUCUUCUUCCAGCUUCAACAGACUGCCUCUGCCCAGGGAGAGGUUUUAAAUAGAAAAGGUGACUUGGCUUGAUUUGGCCAAACUCACAGUCGGACACAUUCCUCCCUUGGUUCCCAGGGUUCAGAAAUAGUCUGGUGGAGGCAUGGAGGUGCCUUGGGAGAAAGGAGAUGCUGUGUUCUCAGGUGUCCCUGACAAGGGCAUAGGCUGUGCCAAAUAAAGGUGGAGAGGGCAUCCUGAACUAUCAUGGGGCAUUUUAUGACUCAAUGGGUCUCAGUUGUGUGGUUCUCCUAGAUGGAGACCCCAAGUCCCAUGGAAGAAAAACAGACCUCCUCAAGGUCCCUCUUGAGCAAAAGAGUGUGCAGCAGGGCCAAGGGUAAGAUUGGGUCUUCCGACUCUAAGGUUGGCUGACUCCUACUCCUUAGAUACAUAGCCUCUGCAUCAGCCAUGACAAGCACACCCCAGAGCAAUGUUUCAUUCAGUGUACAUUUUUCGACUUUGCCGUGUGCAGAUCCUGGGCAAGCCGCAGGGAGGGUUGGAGCUGAGGUGAGAAAGAAAUGAGCCAGGCUCUACCUUUGCCCUCCAGCUCCUAAGGCAGGGACUUCAGCCUUAGGAGGAUGAGUGUGCAACCAACCUGAGCACAGAUGCUUUAGGAGGAGGUGCUGGGGGGAGGAAGGGGCUGGGAGCUGGAAAGCUGCUCCUGUUUCCUCAUUUUCACUGGUCUUAUCUCCCCUGUUAGUCUGAGAGAGGGAUUAAGGCUCCCUCAUUAGCUGGGGUGCUCCCUCUGGGCAGCUUGCUGCGCCAGCCUCUCCUCUUCCAAAGCCCAGCAUAAUUGCCCUGCAGUCUCCCUUCCAGUGACAGCUUUGUGGGAAGCUGAUGCAGCCUCCAGCUCUCUCCAGGGCUGUCCUGGGACAGGUGCAGCCAGCCAGGUUCUGGCAGCCACAGAGGUCAGAGUCAGGACCCAUGGGAGAAGUGCGAGGGCAGGUUUCAGCUCUGAGGAAGCUGGCUCAGUCUGUUAGCCAGACGGCCCAGUGUUCUAAAGGGCUGCUCUGCUGGCAGGAGGGGAAGAGGGAAGAGGGGGAAAGGAUUUCUGCCACCUCGGGAGGUGUAUGGGCUGGAAUUUGGGCCUCAUUGCUUACUCUGACAUAGUAGAGGGUGUUUAGGCAUCAUAUACAGUUGCCACAUUCCAGACCAGGACCUAGGAUUAGAAGCACUCCAGUACACUGGAGUUCCAUGUCUGUAUCCCUUCUUGGGCGGGGAGCAUUUGAGAGCUGUGUGUUGGCAAAGAAGCGUGUGGGUCUGAUUCAUCUCAGCCUCCUUAGCUUUUAGUAUGGAGCCCAGCACUCGCUAGGGUCGGAAGUGAAUGAAUGAAUGAAAGAGCGAAUGCAUGAUUUGUGAGAGCGGAGAUCUCAGCAUUUCUCCAGAAUGGGCCCAACCGCUCCAGCUGAGGGAUGGUGGGGACUGGAGCGUGGAGCGAAGGCUCCCCUCCGGCUGCCAGUCUCCGAGAGCUCCCGUACUUCAAAGGACUUGUAGAUAAGAAGGGCUUUCUGGGCUAAGUGAGAUCCGGCCCUCCCCCAGUCUUCCCUCCCCCGCAGCCCCACACCAAAUGUGCACACGAAAAUCUAGCUUCCUUAUCUGCAUGGGCUCAGAUUUGGCACCCUGGGGCUUGAAAGGCUGACCGAGCAACUGAUGGUACAUCCAGAUGUUCUUAAAGACCUCCAGCUGUGGCCCAUGGGACAUUGCUCCUUCUGAGGUGCCAGCCUCAACUUUCACCUGCAUGGAGGUGUGAGGACCUGCUUGGGUAGGAAUGAAAGAGGCUGUCCUAGGAAAGCAGAGGAUCCCAGUGAGGGUGAUGGGCUUGGCUGGAAGGAUCCCAGAGGAGGGAGGAAUGCUAGAGGACGAAGAAAUUGGAGGGUGAAAGCCCCCGGUGUGAAGGGUGCAUUCCCUAGACAGAGUCCUUAAUCCGCAUUUGAAGAGGGGAUAUGACUGGAUGACUGGAGGAUGGGUGGCUGAAACAGAUGGUGGUCCGUUCAGAGAUUUAUAGGACGCUUCCUUAGACUCCGUGCAAUGAAUCAGACCCAGCGUCUGUCCCCAAGGAAGGAGUUCACAAUACACAGAUGAUGACACCACUGUUGUAAUUCAACUUGGAGAUGGGCCUUGAAGCAUGGAGAGGGCUGUGGCUACAUGCUGAAGAUGAGUCUAAGCAGAAUUCUCACUGAGGUUCAGGGGUCACUCCACUGGGAUUUGAAAUGCUUGUGACAUGUCACGAGCCACUUUGAGGUGAAAUUCAAAAUGAGCAAAUAUAUUGGUUGAAAUUAAUGCCUUUUUAAAGCAGAUUUCAGUAUGGUUGAGAUAUUGUGGGCAUAAAACGUCACGAAAAGCUUAUAGAAAAAAAUUAAAAACUGGAAAAACUGUA